GUAGGUGGCAAGCGUUGUCCGGAAUUAUUGGGCGUAAAGCGCGCGCAGGCGGUUCUUUAAGUCUGAUGUGGAAGCCCACGGCUCAACCGUGGAGGGUCAUUGGAAACUGGAGAACUUGAGUACAGAAGAGGAAAGCGGAAUUCCACGUGUAGCGGUGAAAUGCGUAGAGAUGUGGAGGAACACCAGUGGCGAAGGCGGCUUUCUGGUCUGUAACUGACGCUGAGGCGCGAAAGCGUGGGGGAGCAAACAGGAUUAGAUACCCUGGUAGUCCACGCCGUAAACGAUGAGUGCUAAGUGUUAGGGGGUUUCCGCCCCUUAGUGCUGCAGCUAACGCAUUAAGCACUCCGCCUGGGAGUACGGCCGCAAGGCUG
rnacentral:rRNA from 1 species